UCAAGUUAUUAAGGGUGCAGGGCGGAUGCCUUGGCACUAGGAGCCGAUGAAGGACGUGAUAAGCUGCGAUAAGCUUCGGGGAGUUGCACGUAAACUUUGAUCCGAAGAUUUCCGAAUGAGGAAACUCACUUAGAGUAAUGUCUAAGUAUCAUUAAGUGAAUACAUAGCUUAAUGAGGGGAACUCAGGGAACUGAAACAUCUAAGUACCUGAAGGAAGAGAAAGAAAUUCGAUUCCGUAAGUAGCGGCGAGCGAACGCGGAUUAGCCCAAACCAAUAAAGUUUUCUUUAUUGGGGUUGCGGACAUAUCAUAACGAAGAGGUAUCGUAAUUGAAGAGGUUUGGAAAGACCCACCACAGAAGGUAAUAGUCCUGUAUGUUAAACGAGAAGACUUUAGAUAUGAUCCAGAGUACCACGGGACACGUGAAACCCUGUGGGAAGCAGGAGGGACCACCCUCCAAGGCUAAAUACUACCUAGUGACCGAUAGCGUAUAGUACCGUGAGGGAAAGGUGAAAAGAACCCCGGGAGGGGAGUGAAAUAGAACCUGAAACCCUGCACUUACAAGCUGUGGAAGCACAUUUCUUGUGUGACCGCGUACUUUUUGUAGAACGGGCCAACGAGUUACGUUAAGUAGCAAGGUUAAGCACUUAAGGUGUGGAGCCGUAGCGAAAGCGAGUUUUAACUGAGCGUUCAGUUACUUGACGUAGACCCGAAACCGGGCGACCUACCCAUGAGCAGGAUGAAGCGAAAGUAAAAUUUCGUGGAGGUCCGAACCCACGAGCGUUGAAAAGCUCGGGGAUGACUUGUGGGUAGCGGUGAAAUUCCAAUCGAGCCCGGAGAUAGCUGGUUCUCCCCGAAAUAGCUUUAGGGCUAGCCUCAAGGUGAGAGAUACGGAGGUAGAGCACUGAAUGUCCUAGGGGGUAUUGCACCUACCGAAGACUAUCAAACUCCGAAUGCCGUCAUCUUAUACUUGGGAGUCAGACUGUGGGUGAUAAGAUUCAUAGUCGAAAGGGCAACAGCCCAGAUCGUCAGCUAAGGUCCCUAAAUGUAAGUUAAGUGGUAAAGGAUGUGGGAUUGCACAGACAACCAGGAUGUUGGCUUAGAAGCAGCCACUCAUUCAAAGAGUGCGUAAUAGCUCACUGGUCGAGUGAUCCUGCGCCGAAGAUUUCCGGGGCUAAAACUUACUACCGAAGCUACGGCAUCAGUAAUGAUGGGUAGGGGAGCUUCCCAUACGGGUUGAAGCAUGACCGUAAGGACAUGUGGACAGUAUGGGAGUGAGAAUGUUGGCAUGAGUAGCGAGAUGUGGGUGAGAAUCCCACAGGCCGUAAACCCAAGGUUUCCAGGGGAAGGUUCGUCCGCCCUGGGUUAGUCGGGACCUAAGCUGAGGCCGAAAGGCGUAGGUGAUGGACAACAGGUUGAUAUUCCUGUACUACCGAUAACCGUUUGAGAGAAGGGAUGACACAGUAGGAUAAGCUAAGCACACUGUUGGUUAUGUGUGCCCAAGCAUUGAGGCAGUCAAAGUAGGCAAAUCCGCUUUGAUAAUGCUGGGAUGUGAUGGGGAGCGAAAUUUAGUAGCGAAGUAGCUGAUUUCACACUGUCAAGAAAAGUCUCUAUCGAGGUUAAAGGUACCCGUACCGCAAACCGACACAGGUGGGUGAGGAGAGUAUCCUAAGGCCAGCGAGAGAACUGUUGUUAAGGAACUCGGCAAAAUGACCCCGUAACUUAGGGAUAAGGGGUGCCGCCAUCAGGUGGCCGCAGAGAAUAGGCCCAAGCGACUGUUUACCAAAAACAUAGGUUUCUGCUAAGUCGCAAGACGAUGUAUAGGAGCUGACGCCUGCCCGGUGCUGGAAGGUUAAGGGGAUCUGUUAGAGCAAUCGAAGCAGUGAACUUAAGCCCCAGUAAACGGCGGCCGUAACUAUAACGGUCCUAAGGUAGCGAAAUUCCUUGUCGGGUAAGUUCCGACCCGCACGAAAGGCGUAACGAUUUGGGCACUGUCUCAACAACAGACUCGGUGAAAUUGUAAUUCCGGUGAAGAUGCCGGAUACCUGCGACAGGACGGAAAGACCCCAUGGAGCUUUACUGUAGCUUGACAUUGGGUCUUGGUACUACAUGUACAGGAUAGGUGGGAGGCUUUGAAACCAGGACGCCAGUUUUGGCGGAGCCAUCCUUGGGAUACCACCCUUGUAGUACUGGGACUCUAACCAUAGGCCAUGAAUCUGGUCUUGGGACACUGUCAGGUGGGCAGUUUGACUGGGGCGGUCGCCUCCCAAAAGGUAACGGAGGCGCUCAAAGGUUCUCUCAGUACGGUCGGAAAUCGUACGUAGAGUGUAAAGGCAAAAGAGAGCUUGAUUGCAAGACAUACAGGUCGAGCAAGGAUGAAAAUCGGACUUAGUGAUCCGGUGGUUCUGCGUGGAAGGGCCAUCGCUCAACGGAUAAAAGCUACCCUGGGGAUAACAGGCUUAUCUCCCCCAAGAGUCCACAUCGACGGGGAGGUUUGGCACCUCGAUGUCGGCUCAUCACAUCCUGGGGCUGUAGUAGGUCCCAAGGGUUGGGCUGUUCGCCCAUUAAAGUGGUACGCGAGCUGGGUUCAGAACGUCGUGAGACAGUUCGGUCCCUAUCCGUCGCAGGCGUAGGAAAUUUGAGAAGACCUGUCCUUAGUACGAGAGGACCGGGAUGGACGUACCUCUGGUGUACCAGUUGUCCUGCCAAGGGCAUGGCUGGGUAGCUAUGUACGGAAUGGAUAAGCGCUGAAAGCAUCUAAGCGCGAAGCCAACUUCAAGAUAAGAUUUCCCACCGCAAGGGUAAGACCCCAGAAAGACUAUCUGGUUGAUAGGUCGAAGGUGUAAGUGCAGCAAUGUAUUUAGCUUAUCGAUACUAAUAGGUCGAGGACUUGACCAA
rnacentral:rRNA from 1 species